rnacentral:rRNA from 1 species
GACGAGAAGCUUGCUUCUCUGAUGUUAGCGGCGGACGGGUGAGUAACACGUGGAUAACCUACCUAUAAGACUGGGAUAACUUCGGGAAACCGGAGCUAAUACCGGAUAAUAUUUUGAACCGCAUGGUUCAAAAGUGAAAGACGGUCUUGCUGUCACUUAUAGAUGGAUCCGCGCUGCAUUAGCUAGUUGGUAAGGUAACGGCUUACCAAGGCAACGAUGCAUAGCCGACCUGAGAGGGUGAUCGGCCACACUGGAACUGAGACACGGUCCAGACUCCUACGGGAGGCAGCAGUAGGGAAUCUUCCGCAAUGGGCGAAAGCCUGACGGAGCAACGCCGCGUGAGUGAUGAAGGUCUUCGGAUCGUAAAACUCUGUUAUUAGGGAAGAACAUAUGUGUAAGUAACUGUGCACAUCUUGACGGUACCUAAUCAGAAAGCCACGGCUAACUACGUGCCAGCAGCCGCGGUAAUACGUAGGUGGCAAGCGUUAUCCGGAAUUAUUGGGCGUAAAGCGCGCGUAGGCGGUUUUUUAAGUCUGAUGUGAAAGCCCACGGCUCAACCGUGGAGGGUCAUUGGAAACUGGAAAACUUGAGUGCAGAAGAGGAAAGUGGAAUUCCAUGUGUAGCGGUGAAAUGCGCAGAGAUAUGGAGGAACACCAGUGGCGAAGGCGACUUUCUGGUCUGUAACUGACGCUGAUGUGCGAAAGCGUGGGGAUCAAACAGGAUUAGAUACCCUGGUAGUCCACGCCGUAAACGAUGAGUGCUAAGUGUUAGGGGGUUUCCGCCCCUUAGUGCUGCAGCUAACGCAUUAAGCACUCCGCCUGGGGAGUACGACCGCAAGGUUGAAACUCAAAGGAAUUGACGGGGACCCGCACAAGCGGUGGAGCAUGUGGUUUAAUUCGAAGCAACGCGAAGAACCUUACCAAAUCUUGACAUCCUUUGACAACUCUAGAGAUAGAGCUUUCCCCUUCGGGGGACAAAGUGACAGGUGGUGCAUGGUUGUCGUCAGCUCGUGUCGUGAGAUGUUGGGUUAAGUCCCGCAACGAGCGCAACCCUUAAGCUUAGUUGCCAUCAUUAAGUUGGGCACUCUAAGUUGACUGCCGGUGACAAACCGGAGGAAGGUGGGGAUGACGUCAAAUCAUCAUGCCCCUUAUGAUUUGGGCUACACACGUGCUACAAUGGACAAUACAAAGGGCAGCGAAACCGCGAGGUCAAGCAAAUCCCAUAAAGUUGUUCUCAGUUCGGAUUGUAGUCUGCAACUCGACUACAUGAAGCUGGAAUCGCUAGUAAUCGUAGAUCAGCAUGCUACGGUGAAUACGUUCCCGGGUCUUGUACACACCGCCCGUCACACCACGAGAGUUUGUAACACCCGAAGCCGGUGGAGUA